GCAUGUAGGCGGUUGUUUAAGUCUGAUGUGAAAGCCCUGGGCUCAACCUAGGAAGUGCAUUGGAUACUGGACAACUUGAGUACGGGAGAGGAAAGUGGAAUUUCGAGUGUAGGGGUGAAAUCCGUAGAUAUUCGAAGGAACACCAGUGGCGAAGGCGGCUUUCUGGACCGAUACUGACGCUGAGAUGCGAAAGCGUGGGGAGCAAACA
rnacentral:rRNA from 1 species